rnacentral:rRNA from 1 species
UGGGGAAUAUUGCACAAUGGGCGCAAGCCUGAUGCAGCCAUGCCGCGUGUAUGAAGAAGGCCUUCGGGUUGUAAAGUACUUUCAGCGAGGAGGAAGGCAUUAAGGUUAAUAACCUUAGUGAUUGACGUUACUCGCAGAAGAAGCACCGGCUAACUCCGUGCCAGCAGCCUCGGUAAUACGGAGGGUGCAAGCGUUAAUCGGAAUUACUGGGCGUAAAGCGCACGCAGGCGGUUUGUUAAGUCAGAUGUGAAAUCCCCGGGCUCAACCUGGGAACUGCAUUUGAAACUGGCAAGCUUGAGUCUUGUAGAGGGGGGUAGAAUUCCAGGUGUAGCGGUGAAAUGCGUAGAGAUCUGGAGGAAUACCGGUGGCGAAGGCGGCCCCCUGGACAAAGACUGACGCUCAGGUGCGAAAGCGUGGGGAGCAAACAGGAUUAGAUACCCUGGUAGUCCACGCUGUAAACGAUGUCGACUUGGAGGUUGUUCCCUUGAGGAGUGGCUUCCGGAGCUAACGCGUUAAGUCGACCGCCUGGGGAGUACGGCCGCAAGGUUAAA